rnacentral:ncRNA from 1 species
CCGUCACAACGGCUUCCUGACGUGACGGCGUCAUCAUUGGAGCA